UCGAACGAGAAAUCUUUAGCUUGCUAGAGAAAGUAAAGUGGCGCACGGGUGAGUAACGCGUGGGUAAUCUGCCUCCGAAUCGGGGAUAACAUUGCGAGAGGGAGGCUAAUACCGGAUAAAAUCUGGUUGGCUUAGGUGAACCGGAUCAAAGGUGGUCUCUUUAUAAAAGCUACCGUUUGGAGAUGAGCUCGCGUACCAUUAGCUAGUUGGUGAGGUAAAGGCUCACCAAGGCGACGAUGGUUAGCUGGUCUGAGAGGAUGAUCAGCCACACCGGAACUGGAACACGGUCCGGACUCCUACGGGAGGCAGCAGUGAGGAAUUUUGCGCAAUGGGGGAAACCCUGACGCAGCAAACGCCGCGUGAGUGAUGAAGGCUUUCGGGUCGUAAAGCUCUGUCAGGUGGGAAGAACCCACCAAGUGUUAAGACCACUUGGUGCUGACGGUACCACCGAAGGAAGCACCGGCUAACUCCGUGCCAGCAGCCGCGGUAAUACGGGGGGUGCGAGCGUUAUCCGGAAUCAUUGGGCGUAAAGGGCGCGCAGGCGGAUUUGUAAGUCAGAUGUGAAAUCCCGGGGCUUAACCCCGGAAGUGCAUAUGAAACUAUGAGACUUGAGUAUGGGAGAG
rnacentral:rRNA from 1 species